UACGAGGGGGACUAGCGUUGUUCGGAAUCACUGGGCGUAAAGCGCACGUAGGCGGAUUCGUAAGUCAGGGGUGAAAUCCCGGGGCUCAACCUCGGAACUGCCUUUGAUACUGCGGGUCUUGAGUCCGAUAGAGGUGGGUGGAAUUCCUAGUGUAGAGGUGAAAUUCGUAGAUAUUAGGAAAGAACACCGGUGGCGAAGGCGGCCCACUGGAUCGGUACUGACGCUGAGGUGCGAAAGCGUGGGGAGCAAACAGG
rnacentral:rRNA from 1 species